rnacentral:rRNA from 1 species
CCUACGGGAGGCAGCAGUAGGGAAUAUUGCUCAAUGGGGGAAACCCUGAAGCAGCAACGCCGCGUGGAGGAUGAAGGUUUUCGGAUUGUAAACUCCUUUUGUUAGAGAAGAUAAUGACGGUAUCUAACGAAUAAGCACCGGCUAACUCCGUGCCAGCAGCCGCGGGAAUACGGAGGGUGCAAGCGUUACUCGGAAUCACUGGGCGUAAAGAGCGCGUAGGCGGGAUAGCAAGUCAGAUGUGAAAUCCUAUGGCUUAACCAUAGAACUGCAUUUGAAACUGUUAUUCUAGAGUAUGGGAGAGGUAGGUGGAAUUCUUGGUCUAGGGGUAAAAUCCGUAGAGAUCAAGAGGAAUACUCAUUGCGAAGGCGACCUGCUAGAACAUAACUGACGCUGAUGCGCGAAAGCGUGGGGAGCAAACAGGAUUAGAUACCCCGGUAGUC